rnacentral:misc_RNA from 1 species
GUUUGAAUUCAAUUGCAUGUUAUAUUUAAGUUUUAUAAUCAAAAUAAGUUGUUAAGCUUAAUAAGUUAGACUUUAAUAGUAGGUUGUUAAAUUCAAAUAUUUAUUUUGUGACUUAAUUAUUGUUUGUGUGUAAAUAUUUUGUAAAUAUUAUGUUGGUUGCAAUCGAGUCCUUUCAUUUUGUUUACCAUCUCGUAUGUUAUUUCUAGACAUUUUUAUUAGAAGCUACAUAAAUUAUCCGGUAGUGAAUAACUAGUGUAGUGCGUGUUACAUAAGAUCAGCACAGUUGCACUCAGAAGGCUUUUGAGCAGUUCUAGUGAAAUCUACCAAACAUCUCCUUGCCAUCAUAAUGAAAUUCUUCGUGUUCUUCUUCCUCUGCUGUGUUGCUCUGGCGGCUGCAGCCCCCCAGUUUAUCGCCUGGCCCGGCUACCUCGCCCCUGCUGUCGGUUCUAGGACCGUCGUAGCUGGACCAACCGUUGUGAACGGAUUCGAUGGGCUUGGUCGGUUCGUCCAUCCUGGCUACGUCGGGGUGAUCUAGACCUAGGUCUUAUUAGGACCUAUAGCCAGCUAGACAACCAGCUUUACACCUGUCUGGACACUACCGAAGUUAUUGGCGUAUCUAAAUUGUUAUGUAUACAUAGUUCAAUAAAUGCACGCUCAUUUUAUUGUUUUGUUUUAUUGUUUGUCAUACUUUCUCUAUAUUUCGAUGCAUUACCUUGUACAUACUACGAAACAUACAUAAACAUACUAAGAAAACUUGAAUUGAAAAUUUUUAAUGUUUAGGUAUUAACAAAUAUUAAAGUUAUUUAAUUGAAGAUUAACAGUAAGACUAUUUCAUCAUUUAUUAAAUUGAUUUUUUGACCAUAUUGCAUAUAUUUUUUUCUAAAAUUAUAAACUGAACUUUAUGAAUUAUUAUAAGGAAUAUACAAAUAUUUAUAUUUUAUAGAGUGACCUUAUGAUUACACCAUAAGAAGCCUAUAUUACCGGAGGUGGUUAUAAAACCUCUUCGAAUAUUUCUUAACGUCACUACCAUCUAAUUUAAAUUAUGUCUUUCGUUAAUAAGAAUUAGUAAAGAAAAACAAGUUAAGACGUUAUAGCGAUCGCUUUAAAGCAAUUUUAGCGUAACUACUACAAAAACUGGGCUUUACAAAGUCAUGCUUUGAUUAAAAACUGGUCAAGUUCGAGUAGAAUUCUUCAAGAAAACAUAGGGUUCUUUAAUGAAUAUAUU